rnacentral:rRNA from 1 species
CCUGAUCCAGCCAUGCCGCGUGAGUGAUGAAGGCCUUCGGGUUGUAAAGCUCUUUCGGCCGGGAAGAAAUCGCACCUUUUAAUAGAGGGUGUGGAUGACGGUACCGGACUAAGAAGCACCGGCUAACUACGUGCAGCAGCCGCGGUAAU